AUGGCUCCAGAGACGUCUUCACAGCCAGUUCCGGAAACGGAAACGCCUCCACAGCCGGCACCGGAGACGGAAACAUCCCUACAGCCGGCUCCGGAAAUGGAGACGACCCCACAGCCGGCACCAACACCAGAAACCGAAACAUCCCUACAACCGGCACAGGAAACGGUGACGUCUCCGCAGCCAACACCAGAAGCAGAAACAUUCCCGCAGCCGGCUCCAGAAUCAGUGACGCCUCCAUCAGCGGCUCCGGAAACAGAGCCGUCCCCGCAGUUGGUCCCGGAAACGGCUUCCCCCUCACAACCACCCCCGGAAACGGAAAUGCCCUCCCAAGAAAUGUCAACUUCAGCCCAACCAACCCCGGCCGCUCCAUCGCCAGACCAGAAUGUCCAACUGACACCAGGAGAACAAGAAGACGUUGCUGGCAAAUCCCAAAUUCUAACCACACCAGAGGAGACUAGCACUAACGGAGGUACGCUUGAAAACAUGGCACUAUCCACGGAAGUAAUCACAGAGAGGACCGAGCAACGUUCUUCCGACGAGGGAAACACUGCGACAACGGAAAGUAAUCAGAACACCACCGAAGAGUCAGCGAGGUCGGCAUCGUCUCUUGCGCCGAUGACCGAAUCGACCUUCCAGACGCAAAGAAACGCCGAGAUGGCGAUGCCCACGGAUGCGCCACCGUCGUCGCCCGAGUCGGCCGCUGUGAAACCGGAGAGCUCGCCGAUCCAGGAGAUUGCCGUGACGACGUUUUCCUCCCCGGCGCAAAGCCAACUGGACAUAGCCAACGACACAGCAAUCAACAGAGUUUCCUCCGAUGAGCAAAUGCUCGAUCAAUUAACAACGACUCUCAAAGUCUGCACUCACUCGCCAACGGAAGAGGCGACUGAAGGCGUGACUCAAACUGGUGCAACCGAGCCUAACCAAAGUAUUUUAGAUAAGACCACGAUUGAAAAUGAAUCGGAUAAAAUGCGCGUGGGGACUCCUGAUGAGACCACAACCAAUGGAAAACCAACCGACGAUCUGAAUGAUAUUCCUGUGCUGAUAAUUAUAUCCAGCACUGAAAAUGACGGCACCACGAAAGAUAAUCUCGACGCUUCCAGGACUGGAACAACGGAUUUGAAAAAUCAUGAUUUUAUUUCGACUGAUACUCCGUCAGUAACCUCAAGAAAUGAAUUACUCCCUACUGACUACAACCUAAUACCAGACGAUCCCUCUCUCACUAUUACAACCGCUCCUCAACAGAAUACUUUUGACGUGCCCCAAACUCCGACAUCAUCCAUCGGUUUAAGAGUCAAUGACGCCACCCCGACCGUCAUCACGACCCUGAAAUAG
rnacentral:lncRNA from 1 species